rnacentral:rRNA from 1 species
UGCAGUCGAACGAGAUCUUCGGGUCUAGUGGCGCACGGGUGCGUAACGCGUGGGAAUCUGCCCUUUGGUUCGGAAUAACAGUUGGAAACGACAGCUAAUACCGGAUGAUGACGAAAGUCCAAAGAUUUAUCGCCAGAGGAUGAGCCCGCGUAGGAUUAGCUAGUUGGUGUGGUAAAGGCGCACCAAGGCGACGAUCCUUAGCUGGUCUGAGAGGAUGAUCAGCCACACUGGGACUGAGACACGGCCCAGACUCCUACGGGAGGCAGCAGUGGGGAAUAUUGGACAAUGGGCGAAAGCCUGAUCCAGCAAUGCCGCGUGAGUGAUGAAGGCCUUAGGGUUGUAAAGCUCUUUUACCCGGGAUGAUAGUGACAGUACCGGGAGAAUAAGCUCCGGCUAACUCCGUGCCAGCAGCCGCGGUAAUACGGAGGGAGCUAGCGUUGUUCGGAAUUACUGGGCGUAAAGCGCACGUAGGCGGCUUUGUAAGUUAGAGGUGAAAGCCUGGAGCUCAACUCCAGAACUGCCUUUAAGACUGCAUCGCUUGAAUCCAGGAGAGGUGAGUGGAAUUCCGAGUGUAGAGGUGAAAUUCGUAGAUAUUCGGAAGAACACCAGUGGCGAAGGCGGCUCACUGGA